rnacentral:rRNA from 1 species
AACGAACGCUGGCGGCAGGCCUAACACAUGCAAGUCGAACGCCCUGGCAACAGGGAGUGGCAGACGGGUGAGUAACGCGUGGGAACGUGCCCUUCGGUUCGGAAUAACUCAGGGAAACUUGAGCUAAUACCGAAUACGUGCGAGAGCAGAAAGAUUUAUCGCCGAAGGAUCGGCCCGCGUCCGAGUAGCUAGUUGGUGAGGUAAUGGCUCACCAAGGCGACGAUCGGUAGCUGGUCUGAGAGGAUGAUCAGCCACACUGCGACUGAGACACGGCCCAGACUCCUACGGGAGGCAGCAGUGGGGAAUAUUGGACAAUGGGCGCAAGCCUGAUCCAGCCAUGCCGCGUGAGUGAUGAAGGCCCUAGGGUUGUAAAGCUCUUUCGCCAGGGACGAUAAUGACGGUACCUGGAUAAGAAGCCCCGGCUAACUUCGUGCCAGCCGCCGCAGUAA